UCGACUUGGCCCCCACCGACACGACUUUGCUAUUUGGUUCGCGACGAUGACAAUAUUUUACCAUUCUGCCCGCGUGCGCUAUCACAAUCAACAAGUCGCAGGGACAGACGUUCCAGUACGUUGGCAACGCCCAGCAAUCGGGUGCUGGGCUGGAUUGGGACUGAGCCAGCUCAAGAGGAAUGCUCUGGGAACACUCGCCUGUGGAUCCCACCCGGUUCAAGCGCCGGGCAGCACGGCCGUUUAAAAGGCGCCCCAUGGCACAGAGCGGGUGAAAGGAACCCGCGCCGACCUCGGCUCCCCCGGGCGGCACCGAGGCGGAGGAGGCGAAGGUCACCGCGGGGUUCCUUACCGCAGGCGACGGACGCUCAUACGGACGGCGCCCGUUCGCCGACCCCACCGCGGCUGUGGGGUUGCCACCGGUGCCGGUGUUCCCGUUUGAGGGCAGCUUUCCUGGAAAAAUCCAGGUUUUUUGCUCCUUAGCUGUGGCGACCCCCCGUUUGCUGUGACAAAACUCCAAUCGAUGGACCGUCCCACGUCUCCUAACAAUGGCCACCGCAGUUUCACAGCUGCGCUGGAUCUACCAACUACUCCAGGCGCGCGUGGCAAACCACCACGCAAACUCCGGUCAUCCUCGCAGCAGCAGCAGCGGCGGUGGCGGCAGCGGCGGCGGCAGCGGCGGCUUUUGGCUGGCCAUCGAACAAAGGCGGUCACCGCAUCGCGUGGCGCUUUCGGACGCACUUCUGCGGCCGUCUGGAACGCUCUUCCUUCCGAUGUUAGGAAACAAACAAUGCUAUGAACUUUUACAUCUGAAUUGAAAGCGAAUUUUUUUAACUGCUUUUUGUGUUUUUGUCCUUCCUCCACACCUCGGAUUAGUACGGUUGGAUACAUACGUUGUGAAAUAACUAUGUAUGCGUAUAACUUCGAAUGGAAAGUGUGCACACGAUUGUGGAACGAGAGAAUAACCUCAAGCAAGGUGGUGGCAGCGAAACUCUAAGAGGAGCGGUCUUUGAAGGACAUUUUUCAACUGUGCCACAACUGAGAAAAUGUACGUAUCAUUAGGAAUCGAAAGCGUGGUGUGUCAUUGACCGCAAUGACCUCUUGGCCUAGCGUGCGAAUUCCCGCGUGCACAAGUGUCAUAGGAUUGCUAACUCUUAGGUAGAAGAAGACUAUCUCAAAAUGCCAGAAGAGGGGAGAACUACAGUGUAAAGGCAUUGUGUUUGGAAUGUGUGCUGAAUUAUUAAGCAAUGUCCCAGGAAGACGUACAGAUUUCCCUGUACAGCGUCCAGUAAAUAUGGAUCUUUGGUCCAACGGUUUCCCAACGUUGACACAAUGAUUCCAACCACAUGCCAAUGGUUAGUCCAACAUUGGCAUGUUUAGUUUAUAAAUGUUUAUAUAGUUUGUUUACUUGGCAGCUGCCUCAAACUAUUUUAUUUAUCAAAGAAAGCUCACGAAGCUAUUCGCUCUUUUUCAGAGGCUACCUGGCUACACGUGUUGGCUCAUCGAAGUGGCUUUCUAUCAUCACACAUGCGAAUUCAUAAUAGCAGCCACGUAAUAUAAACGCACGUUUAUAAACGUGGAGGCCAAAACCAGUGGACAUGGAGAAAAAUCCACACGACCACUUCGGGGAGAAAGAGAAUACACAAACUCCAAUUAUACAACAAGCAAGCGCCAUGGUCCAGGUUGACACCCACGACCUCCUGCGCACCGGGCGAGGGAGAUAACAUCUCCUCACCACAGUUUCAGUUGCAUUUGUUUGGAAUAACCCUGUGAGCCAUUCGGCUCUUGAUUCGGGUGCAACCGCAACAAACAAUAAAAUUACAAGAUACAUUUAAAAUUUACUGUACGCAAAUUUAAACAUCCCCUACAAAAACUAUGAAAUCUUCCAUAAAAAGCACCAUUUGUUUAUGCUGCGUACAAAAAUGUGCAAAAAGUCCCAUUUUGAUGUUUGAUCACAAUAACAAUCAUAAUACAAUUUAGAUUUUAAAAAAAUGUGUCUAACUCUAUACUACAUCAAAAAAUCGGGCUAAACUAAACCUUUCUAGAAAUUACUAAAAUAAUGCUAUAAAAACAAUGUAACGCCCCAGAGGACAAUCCUGGGAAAACCAGGACGGCUGGCAACCCUAAGCGCGUCCGUAGCCCGCGGACUUGGCACGCACCAGCAUGGUGGCCACGUUGCUGGGGAAGGCGGUGGCCAUGUAGAGGAAGCACAUGGUGUCGGCGGAGGCCGUGCCGAAGCCGUCGAGGCAACGGAUCACGAUGCACAGGGUGAUGAACGCCGUGCCGCUUGGAGCCUUGUCCAGCAGCCUGCGCGACACACAACGACCGGCACGGUGCGGUCACAACCGCGAGCCGCAGGAGGCCGCCCCGGAUAAUAUUUAAAGCUGCUGCAGGCAGGCGCGUCAACCGUCAAAAGGUACGCGCCGUCAUCUGCUUGCGGUGGACGCGCGGAAUGCCUCGGUUGUCGGUUGAUGUUGAGAGGAGGUGUCGUCGUCCAAAAUUUGGCGAAUGUGAAAAAUGACACGCAAAUGACCAAUUUGGGAAAAUGCAUGGUGAUGUCACCCCCCUCCCACCACGAACCCACCCCCACCCACCUCCCCGCUGCGAAACUUACCCUGCGGAAAAUGAGUCUUGGGACUCGGUGAAGCUUUCCCGGGUGAGUAAAUGUUACCAAUAAAACAGUCACGUGUUCAUGAAA